CCGGCGCCGGCGAGGGGCGUGCGCCACCGCCCGCAGCGGCGCACGGGCUUCAGCAGCUGCACGUUCCUCCCUUCCACCACCCCCGCCCCUGCAUCGACCACACCACGCGUACACGAAAAAAAUUGCAAAAAAUGACACUCCCAUCGUGGUGGCGAAAUCAUCAAGGAAUCGAUUGAACAACACAUGCAGCGAAGGAGGACUGGGUGGAGCUAGCAGCGUACGUACGUACCUUGAGAGAAGGAGAGGGCGAGGAGGGCGGCGAGGAGGAGGAGAGGGAGCAGCCUCGGGUUCGCCAUUGGCGCGUGUGGAGUUUAGAGAGAGAGAGAGAGGAAGAGAUAAGAGAAGGGAGGAAUAAUGGAAAUGGAAUGGGAUCGAGAGAGGGAGGGAGGGAGGGAGAAGGUGGUGGUUUCCGUGGGCUUUAAACGAGGCUUUUGGAGGCUUCGAAGGCGCCGG
rnacentral:lncRNA from 1 species